UCGUAACACAACUGAGGGCAGAUGUAGUGAAUAUGAGAAUCAAUAGCGCCUGCUGUAAAGAUUUUGCCUUCGCCUGCCAAUGCUUCUGUGCCAGCGCCAACAACCAUACCGGGGGUCACGCCCUCCAUCACGUCUGGAUUACCUGCUUUACCAAUACCAGCUAUCAGGCCCUUUUUGAUACCAAUGUCAGCCUUGUAGAUACCAGUAUAAUCAAUGAUUAAUGCGUUUGUAAUGACCAAAUCAAGCACCUCAUCGUCUAGCUUGCCUGUCGCUUGGCCCAUGCCUUCGCGA
rnacentral:sRNA from 1 species